GCUCCUUUUCUCCAUGUACCGAAGCCUGUGUUCUCUGCUCCAUAUCGUAAUUCCCACGUAGAAAUGCUUCUUCUGCUAUGUCGUCAUCUAGAUAUAUAUACAUACGUAUAUGCUUUCUCCCCUUGGUAUAUUCCGCCUUGUGUCUGCAUUGUUUACCUCACAAUUAUGUUAGCAGUUUUAAGGUCGUGUAAGUACAGUCCUUCCCCAGUUGCCCUCCCAUCUCUUCUUUUUCUUCUUUUUUUUGGGCACAUCAACCCAUCCGAAUAACUGCUGUUCUUUUCAUUCCCAAAUGCUUUAUUUUUGUUAUUCUUUAUAGGAUAAUUUGUUAUUCUUGUUGUGAUUGGCAUCCCCCCAAA